rnacentral:rRNA from 1 species
AUUGAACGCUGGCGGCAUGCUUUACACAUGCAAGUCGAACGGUAACAGGCCGCAAGGUGCUGACGAGUGGCGAACGGGUGAGUAAUGCAUCGGAACGUGCCCAGUCGUGGGGGAUAACUACUCGAAAGAGUAGCUAAUACCGCAUACGAUCUAUGGAUGAAAGCGGGGGACCGUAAGGCCUCGCGCGAUUGGAGCGGCCGAUGUCAGAUUAGGUAGUUGGUGGGGUAAAGGCUCACCAAGCCAACGAUCUGUAGCUGGUCUGAGAGGACGACCAGCCACACUGGGACUGAGACACGGCCCAGACUCCUACGGGAGGCAGCAGUGGGGAAUUUUGGACAAUGGGCGCAAGCCUGAUCCAGCAAUGCCGCGUGCAGGAAGAAGGCCUUCGGGUUGUACUGCUUUUGUACGGAACGAAACGGCUCUGGUUAAUACCCGGGGCUAAUGACGGUACCGUAAGAAUAAGCACCGGCUAACUACGUG